rnacentral:rRNA from 2 species
CAUUGAAUGAUCCCUUCGGGGUGAUUUCGAUCGGAUUAGCGGCGAACGGGUGAGUAACGCGUGAGGAACCUGCCUCUUACAACGGGAUAGCCUCGGGAAACCGGGAUUAAUACCGUAUAAGACUCCGACAUCUCCUGAUGAUGAAGUCAAAGCGUUAGCGGUAAGAGAUGGCCUCGCGUCUGAUUAGCUAGUUGGCGGGGUAACGGCCCACCAAGGCGACGAUCAGUAACCGGCCUGAGAGGGUGAACGGUCACAUUGGAACUGAGACACGGUCCAAACUCCUACGGGAGGCAGCAGUGGGGAAUCUUGCACAAUGGGGGAAACCCUGAUGCAGCGACGCCGCGUGAGCGAUGAAGGUUUUCGAAUCGUAAAGCUCUGUCCUAUGGGAAGAUAAUGACGGUACCAUGGGAGGAAGCCCCGGCUAACUACGUGCCAGCAGCCGCGGUAAUACGUAGGGGGCGAGCGUUGUCCGGAAUUACUGGGCGUAAAGGGUUCGCAGGCGGCAUGGCAAGUCCGAUGUAAAAGGCGAAGGCUCAACCUUCGUAAGCAUCGGAAACUGUCAAGCUUGAGUGAAGGAGAGGCAAGUGGAAUUCCUAGUGUAGCGGUGGAAUGCGUAGAUAUUAGGAGGAAUACCGGUGGCGAAGGCGG